rnacentral:pre_miRNA from 1 species
AUCACCAUCACCAGGAGAACUUGUUAAAGCGCAGAUUGCUGGGCUCCACCUCCAGAGUUUCUGAUUCAGUAGGUUGGGGGUGGGACCAAAUAAUCUGCACAUCUAACAAAUUCCCAGGUGACUCUGAU